rnacentral:rRNA from 1 species
GACGAACGCUGGCGGCGUGCUUAACACAUGCAAGUCGAACGGAAAGGCCCUGCUUUUGUGGGGUGCUCGAGUGGCGAACGGGUGAGUAACACGUGAGUAACCUGCCCUUGACUUUGGGAUAACUUCAGGAAACUGGGGCUAAUAUCGGAUAGGAGCUCCUGCUGCAUGGUGGGGGUUGGAAAGUUUCGGCGGUUGGGGAUGGACUCGCGGCUUAUCAGCUUGUUGGUGGGGUAGUGGCUUACCAAGGCUUUGACGGGUAGCCGGCCUGAGAGGGUGACCGGCCACAUUGGGACUGAGAUACGGCCCAGACUCCUACGGGAGGCAGCAGUGGGGAAUAUUGCACAAGGGGCGGAAGCCUGAUGCAGCAACGCCGCGUGCGGGAUGACGGCCUUCGGGUUGUAAACCGCUUUCGCCUGUGACGAAGCGUGAGUGACGGUAAUGGGUAAAGAAGCACCGGCUAACUACGU